rnacentral:rRNA from 1 species
UACGUAGGGUGCGAGCGUUGUCCGGAAUUAUUGGGCGUAAAAGAGCUUGUAGGCGGUUUGUCGCGUCUGCCGUGAAAUUUCGGGGCUCAACCCCGAACUUGCGGUGGGUACGGGCAGACUAGAGUGUGGUAGGGGGAGACUGGAAUUCCUGGUGUAGCGGUGAAAUGCGCAGAUAUCAGGAGGAACACCGAUGGCGAAGGCGGUCUCUGGGCCACUACUGACGCUGAGAAGCGAAAGCAUGGGGAGCGAACAGG